rnacentral:rRNA from 1 species
GGCUCAGGAUGAACGCUAGCGGCAGGCUUAACACAUGCAAGUCGAGGGGCAGCAUAAUGGAUAGCAAUAUCUAUGGUGGCGACCGGCGCACGGGUGCGUAACGCGUAUGCAACCUACCUUUAACAGGGGGGAUAACACUGAGAAAUUGGUACUAAUACCCAAUGACGUCUCUAGAAGACAUCUGAAGGAGAUUAAAGAUUUAUCGGGUGAUGGAUGGGGAUGCGUCUGAUUAGCUUGUUGGCGGGGUAACGGCCCACCAAGGCGACGGUCAGUAGGGGGUUCUGAGAGGAAGGUCCCCCACAUUGGAACUGAGACACGGUCCAAACUCCUACGGGAGGCAGCAGUGAGGAAUAUUGGUCAAUGGGCGAGAGCCUGAACCAGCCAAGUAGCGUGCAGGAUGACGGCCCUAUGGGUUGUAAACUGCUUUUAUAAGGGAAUAAAGUGGGAGUCGUGACUCUUUUUGCAUGUACCUUAUGAAUAAGGACCGGCUAAUUCCGUG